rnacentral:tRNA from 1 species
GGGGGCGUCCGUUAACUGGCUAAACGGCGGGUCUCCAAAACCCGAACUGUAGGUUCGAGUCCUGCCGCCCCCG